rnacentral:rRNA from 1 species
UGGGGAAUAUUGGACAAUGGGCGAAAGCCUGAUCCAGCCAUGCCGCGUGUGUGAAGAAGGUCUUCGGAUUGUAAAGCACUUUAAGUUGGGAGGAAGGGCAUUAACCUAAUACGUUAGUGUUUUGACGUUACCGACAGAAUAAGCACCGGCUAAAUCUGUGCCAGCAGCCGCGGUAAUACAGAGGGUGCAAGCGUUAAUCGGAAUUACUGGGCGUAAAGCGCGCGUAGGUGGUUUGUUAAGUUGGAUGUGAAAGCCCCGGGCUCAACCUGGGAACUGCAUCCAAAACUGGCAAGCUAGAGUACGGUAGAGGGUGGUGGAAUUUCCUGUGUAGCGGUGAAAUGCGUAGAUAUAGGAAGGAACACCAGUGGCGAAGGCGACCACCUGGACUGAUACUGACACUGAGGUGCGAAAGCGUGGGGAGCAAACA